UACGAAGGGGGCUAGCGUUGCUCGGAAUCACUGGGCGUAAAGGGUGCGUAGGCGGGUCUUUUAAGUCAGGGGUGAAAUCCUGGAGCUCAACUCCAGAACUGCCUUUGAUACUGAGGAUCUUGAGUUCGGGAGAGGUGAGUGGAACUGCGAGUGUAGAGGUGAAAUUCGUAGAUAUUCGCAAGAACACCAGUGGCGAAGGCGGCUCACUGGCCCGAUACUGACGCUGAGGCACGAAGGCGUGGGGAGCAACAGG
rnacentral:rRNA from 1 species